GAAAAAUUAAUGUAUCGGGAAAAAUGAGAAACACAAUAAUAAAAUAGUGGUAAAAUGAAUUCGGCAUGUUAGCAUGUUUCGUUCACUUUUUACAAUGCGAGUCAAGAUUUUAGAUACUCCUUCAAAUAUAAACAGUCUUCUUCUUCCUCGCAAGUUCUCAACCAGUACUCCUCCUCUCACUCCCUCCGCCGUUCUCAACCACUCCCCGUCCCUCCGUCGUCGUCUCACUCUCACGCCACCGCCGCCGCCGCCGCCGGUCUGUGGGAUUUUAGGGUUUUCUUGGUCAAAAUCAACACUUCUUGCUUCAUCCAACCCAUUAUUAAGGUGCAGGCUUUGCGUCUUUCUUUGACAGUUAGAAACACGAUAGUGUCAUUUCACGUUGGUCUAGAGCUAGAAUAAGACUUGCUAAGAAUCUGAAUCUCUAAAAGAAAAUUGCUUAACCUUGUUCCCAAUAUAUCACCACUCUUCUUUCUCCUUAGUUCAGGUUAAAUGGCUCCGGAUAGAGAUGCUCCACCUGAAAACUCACAAGAAAGAGAUGCUCAAGAAAGAGAUGCCACGGAUACAAAUGCUCCACCUGAUACUGAAGCAAAAGAAGUUGCACGAGGCAUCACUAUCAUGAAGGGAAUCGUUCGACAUAGAGACCAAGGAUUAGUAUACCGAUUGGAAUGGAAUUCUGAUAAACAAGCAAUUGGUCCUAAUUCUGCAAAGUUGACAAGUUAUAUUGGUACACUUGUUCGUAUGCAUAUUCCGGUCUCCGUAGCUAGAUGAAAUCUGAAAAGCGAAGACUUGGAUGCGGAAAAAAAAAGCGAUUUGGGACGAGCUUCAGAGGACUUUUGAGAUACCAGAUGAUCGUAGACGCUACAUACUUGGUUUGGCCGGCAAAAGAUAUAGAGGGUGGAAAGCUUUUUUGACAAACACUUAUCUUAAGGAUAAAGAUGGAAACUUUCUUGAAGAGGCACCGGGACGGCCAAAAAAGUAUGAGAUCUUCAUUGGUGAAGAAGAUUGGGCUAAGUUUG